AGGUAUGCUCUAUUAAUUCUUCAAGCAUUCACAUUCUUAACAUUCAGUCUUCAGUCAUCCAAGCUUUCCAACGCAACGCAAUCUACAAAUCCAGUCGUUUCCACGUCCUGACAUACCGAUCUGGAAAAAAAUUAGUGUUUCUUGCGCCUUCCGCAAUUUGUUGCGGCGGACAUAGGAAUUAUAUUCAACGAUACAGUGUCGCCACAUGUAAACACAAUAUUAAUCCGCCAUAUUGAAAUUUAUAAUCUCAUCAACAAGUAUGCGAAUUGUAUUUAAUAAACGAAUCUUAUUUAAGGACCAAUAGAUGUACAUGUAAUAAAUAAUAAAGUUGAUGAAAAAAUUUUGUCAUGAACGUUA